CCCAAAUCGAAGUCUUUUAUGCAGUCCUUUUCAUCUUGGGAUUGUCUAGACCCCUCUGGCGGCCAUCCCAAAACUGGUCAUCAAGACAUAUCACUCAGAAUUAUUUUGUUUUGUUUUCUGUCUCUUUUGUUAUUAUUCAACAAUCCCACAUGGAAAAAUGUACACAAAACUUUUAUUUAUUUGUAAUCGGUUAUGCCAGGAGUGGUCACUACCUGUGCUCAAACUGCCAAAGCAUUACAACAAUGCUCAAACGGAUCUUAACAUCUGUGGAAAUCUUUGGUGCUACAUAAAUAGUUAUUAUUGGUAGAGGCCUAGUUACGUUUUGUCAACUAGAGAAAUUCCUCUGCAUUUGGCAAAUGUGAG